CCAUCGCUCAACGGAUAAAAGCUACCCUGGGGAUAACAGGCUUAUCUCCCCCAAGAGUCCACAUCGACGGGGAGGUUUGGCACCUCGAUGUCGGCUCAUCACAUCCUGGGGCUGUAGUAGGUCCCAAGGGUUGGGCUGUUCGCCCAUUAAAGUGGUACGCGAGCUGGGUUCAGAACGUCGUGAGACAGUUCGGUCCCUAUCCGUCGCAGGCGUAGGAAAUUUGAGAAGACCUGUCCUUAGUACGAGAGGACCGGGAUGGACGUACCUCUGGUGUACCAGUUGUUCUGCCAAGGGCAUGGCUGGGUAGCUAUGUACGGAAUGGAUAAGCGCUGAAAGCAUCUAAGCGCGAAGCCAACUUCAAGAUAAGAUUUCCCACCGCAAGGGUAAGACCCCAGAAAGACUAUCUGGUUGAUAGGUCGAAGGUGUAAGUGCAGCAAUGUAUUUAGCUUAUCGAUACUAAUAGGUCGAGGACUUGACCAAAUU
rnacentral:rRNA from 1 species